UACGUAGGGGUGCGAGCGUUUGUCCGGAAUUACUGGGCGUAAAGAGCUCGUAGGUGGUUUGUCGCGUUGUUCGUGAAAACUCACAGCUUAACUGUGGGCGUGCGGGCGAUACGGGCAGACUGGAGUACUGCAGGGGAGACUGGAAUUCCUGGUGUAGCGGUGGAAUGCGCAGAUAUCAGGAGGAACACCGGUGGCGAAGGCGGGUCUCUGGGCAGUAACUGACGCUGAGGAGCGGAAAGCGUGGGGAGCGAACAGG
rnacentral:rRNA from 1 species